UGCAGAAUUCCGCGAAUCAUCGAGUCUUUGAACGCAAGUUGCGCCCGAGGCUUGCCCUCGGGCAUUUCUGUCAGAGCGUCACC
rnacentral:rRNA from 1 species